CAGGGCUUUUCUUCAUCUUUGUGUUUUCCUCUCAACUCCCCCAUGUUUCACGGUGUAAUAGUGAUGCUUCCCUACACGCUGCUCUCCAAUAUAGUGAAUUAUUCUGUCCUGUUUCUCUACUAAUCCAGUCUCCCAGUUUUUAAUCUUUCAGGUUUUAGCUGCUCAUCGCUGGAUCCUUUCAUCGUUGUCCAUGUGGUUCCUGCCUUCUGGAUCCCUUGUUUUUCACACUGCUUGUUGGAUCUCGUCAGCCUGUAAAUCUCCACCUUCAACACCACCAGUCAGAUGGAGGAAGAUAAGAGAACCCAGUUGAAAAAAAAUCAGAGCUUUGAUGAGUUUGAGCUGAUGGAAGGAGGAUCAGGAAUAGAGUAGAGGACCUGCUGAUCUACUGGUUCUAGUAGAUUUUAUAAAUGCAUCACUGAGACAAGACAACAGCGCUGGACCAAUCAGGAGAGAGAAGACACAGAGGACUGAAGGGACACAGAAAAAU